AAGUUCUGAAGUCCUGAAAGCCCCAAGGCUCAUUCCCCAAACCAGGAGUGAAUCAUGUUUUCACCUGUGAUGGCAUGAUUUCCAAGGAAACCGAAAGGAACAUUACUGAAUGAGAACAAGGCGCCACCCCCUGCUGAACCUAGAGCACCAAAUCAGCUCAUUCGUUAGAAACCAGGGGUGCAAAUGUCUUUUGGUGCCACUCACCUUUUAAUGACACCUUUAGAAAUCACAGGAGAAAGUGAGAGUGCUUUGAGCGGAGAUUCUGCGGCAGUUGGGGGACUUGAGUCCCAGAGAGGAGAACCCGAGAAAUAUGUGUGAAGUCACUCUUCCUACUCUGUGAGCCCAACGGAGGGGCUGGCCCUGGCCCCGAGAAGUGCCGAAGAAGGCCUGACGCCGCAUUAGACUCCAACGUGCCCUGGCGAACCCAUCCGGGUGCGUAGCCGAUCCCGAGCGUGAGGGCACGUUCCUUGCCAAGAUUCCAUUCUUGGGUCUCAAAAGUUUGGAGGGGAAAGGCCUGGCGGCCCUGUUGGAGAUGCCACCCUCGCUGGUUUCCAUCGCCCACAGCCUGGAGCCUGUAUCUGACAGACUCAGCCUCCGCCUCUCGACUGGAAUUUGAACAUCUUACUCGAAACUCGCAGUGGGUCCUUUCUGGGAACUGAAUCCAAAAGAGCUGCAAGAGGAAGCUAUCAACAAAGUUACGCUUUGAGAACUUGGGUGAUUGGAACACACACAUUUUAAGAUGAAGUAACUGAGAACCAGAGAAGUGAAAUGGC